UACAGAGGUGGCAAGCGUUGUUCGGAAUUACUGGGCGUAAAGGGCGCGUAGGCGGCCAUCUAAGUCAGACGUGAAAUCCCCCGGCUUAACCUGGGAACUGCGUCUGAUACUGGACGGCUUGAGUAUGGGAGAGGGAUGUAGAAUUCCAGGUGUAGCGGUGAAAUGCGUAGAUAUCUGGAGGAAUCCCGGUGGCGAAGGCGGCAUCCUGGCCCAAUACUGACGCUGAGGCGCGAAAGCUAGGGGAGCAACCGGG
rnacentral:rRNA from 1 species